UCGACAGGUGGGCACGUGAGCUCCAGUAGCUCAGAUCGUACGAGCGAUCACCUUAAGAUCGUAAGGUCGGAUGUUCGUCUGCUCCUCCGUCUCGACAUAUCGUCGCAUUGUACAGACCUUUAGACAGUUCAGAUCUUCAGGCGAUCAUGGUUGGGGGCCUUAGCUCAGCUGGGAGAGCACCUGCUUUGCAAGCAGGGGGUCAUCGGUUCGAUCCCGAUAGGCUCCACCAUUUCGACACUCCAGAGAUGAAGACAACAUAUUCCGCGAGGGCCUUUGGGCUCUGGUGGUUGCGCAGACCGAAGCUGGUCUGUUCUUUGACAUUGUGAAUGGGUUUUUUAAUCGAUGCCGUGGUUGCAUCGUGGCGGUUCCGCAAGGGAUCGUUCGCGUUGCCAAUCACACAUUCAUUUCAAAAUGAAUAUCUGGCUGAGAAUAAUCAUCCACACCGAAAUAGCCGUGGCAGCAUGCCGAGAGGCUGGGGUGAGGGUUGGUGCAGACACAAGACUGUGCCGAUCGUGCAUCCUGCCAGUGCUGACAUGUGGUUGACUGCAGGUUAG
rnacentral:tRNA from 1 species